UGCGAACUCCUACGGGAGGCAGCAGUGGGGAAUUUUGGACAAUGGGGGCAACCCUGAUCCAGCAAUGCCGCGUGAGUGAAGAAGGCAUUCGGGUUGUAAAGCUCUUUUGUCAGGGAAGAAACGGUAGUAGCUAAUAUCUAUUACUAAUGACGGUACCUGAAGAAUAAGCACCGGCUAACUACGUGCCAGCAGCCGCGGUAAUACGUAGGGUGCAAGCGUUAAUCGGAAUUACUGGGCGUAAAGCGUGCGCAGGCGGUUGAGUAAGUCAGAUGUGAAAUCCCCGGGCUCAACCUGGGAAUUGCAUUUGAGACUGCACGGCUAGAGUGGGUGAGAGGGGGGUUGAAUUCCACGUGUAGCAGUGAAAUGCGUAGAUAUGUGGAGGAAUACCGAUGGCGAAGGCAGCCCGCUGGGAUAACACUGACGCUCAUGCACGAAAGCGUGGGGAGCAAACAGGAUUAGAUACCCUAGUAGUCCAGAUG
rnacentral:rRNA from 1 species